UACGUAGGCGGCGAGCGUUGUUCGGAGUUACUGGGCGUAAAGGGUGUGUAGGCGGUUGUUUAAGUUUGGUGUGAAAUCUCCCGGCUCAACUGGGAGGGUGCGCCGAAUACUGAAUGACUAGAGUGCGGGAGAGGUGAGUGGAAUUCCUGGCGUAGCGGUGAAAUGCGUAGAUAUCAGGAGGAACACCGGUGGUGUAGACGGCUCACUGGACCGUAACUGACGCUGAGACACGAAAGCGUGGGUAGCAAACAGG
rnacentral:rRNA from 1 species